rnacentral:rRNA from 1 species
GAGUUUGAUCGUGGCUCAGGAUGAACGCUAGCGGCAGGCUUAACACAUGCAAGUCGAGGGGUAACAGGGGUAGCAAUACCUGCUGACGACCGGCAAACGGGUGCGGAACACGUACAGAACUUACCCUGGUCUGGGGCAUAGCCCGGAGAAAUCCGGAUUAACUCCCCAUAACAUAUAUGAGUGGCAUCACUUGGAUAUUAAAAAUUCAUUGGACCAGGAUGGCUGUGCGUCCCAUUAGCUAGUUGGUAGGGUAACGGCCUACCAAGGCGACGAUGGGUAGCUGGUGUGAGAGCACGACCAGCCACACGGGCACUGAGACACGGGCCCGACUCCUACGGGAGGCAGCAGUGAGGAAUAUUGGUCAAUGGGCGCAAGCCUGAACCAGCCAUGCCGCGUGAAGGAUGAAGGCC